GGCACGCCCUCCUCCCCUCCAGCUCACCGAGCGAUCUCCCUUCCUUCCUUCCAGUACUUCCUCCUGGUUGUUCUCCUGAGGAGGAAAAGAAGGGGUGACUCUCCACAUCCUUGCAGCCUCACCUCAUCAUCCCUGCCUGCUGCCUGGCCACACCUGGUCACUCAAGGCCUCCUUCAGUGCCCUGGUCUCAGCUGCCUCAGUAGGGGCCCAGGUUUCCUGUGCUGCUUUGAAUGCUGAGAUCCCAUGGGCCAGGGAGUGCCUCCUGGGAACAAAAUCCCUGUCUCGGCAAAGAAAGAAACCCAGAAAGAAGGCAAAGGUGUCCUGGCCCCCAUCGUGGCCACAGGAUGGAGUGGGUUUAAGGGAUGGUCCCACUUCAGGCUGCAUAGUAAGACCUGGAGCCUGUUGAAAUUCCCUGUAUUCGCCUCAGUACUGAAACCAGCACUUGGAUGUCUCCCUUCAUCACCGUGGCAACAGUCAGACUAACAACCACCAUCACCCAUUAAUUAGGACAUGGAAACAUCUUCUGGUCGCAGUCUCCCCCCAAACCCUUCAGGACCAGACUGAAUCCUCAAGGUCUCAGUGGCCAUGCCACACAGGGACACCCAAUUGCUGGUUUGGCUAGUGGAGCACAGCCAGGGGAGGACAGGAGGAGGGUAUUCUCUGGAGACAGGUGUGCCCCCCUACUGACAGACCCUGCUCAGCAGAACAGAAGCCCUUCAGCGAAUGAGACCUACCCUCUGCGGAAGGCUGGUUAGGAAGCAUCCAUGUCUACUUCAGCGUCUCACCUCCCUGUCACAAACAGAUCACCACAGUUUUCCUCCAGCCUCAUGCUGUCCUCCCCCUAGAGGAAUGUGGGUACAUGGAAUGUUCUCCACCUCCAUGCAUGUCCAGUGACGUUUUGGAUCAGCGUGUCAGGGACGCUGUCAGGCGUGCCUGCUUGCACUCAUCCAGCCCUGGCUGGAUGUGAUUCUACGAGCAGAGCAAGACCAGCAUGUUCUGUCCUCCAGUUAUCACAGCAGUUACUCUGGCAACCUGCAGGCCCUCCCUGAGGUGUCUGACGGCUGAAGCAGGGUCCAGUGGGAUGGAAUGAAGGAUGGGCACCCUGGAAGACAGCCCAUGGAGGGGCCCUUUGGGUCCCCUGCUGCCCUGGGCACCUGCGAAGAGAGAAGCUGAGCCACCCUGCCUGAGGCAGUAGGCAGUAAGAGCUGAAGGGAGCAGGAGGUUAGGGC
rnacentral:lncRNA from 10 species